UUUAAUCAAAAUUAAAUGCAGAGUGUUCUCUGUUCCCUACCAUGUGUGUCUUCACCCUCUUAAUUCAUGAUACAGAAGACCUAGGAUGCCUCUAUUAAGAGGGAAGAUAACAUGAUUUCCAGGACUGUCAGCAGUGAGACAUGGCUGGCUACAGAACUUUGGAGGAUGUGGAUCAUAAGACUUCUCGACUGACUCGUUAAUAUAGCUGUUUGGGGAUCCACAUGCAUCUCCAGGCCUACAACAGGCCAUAAAGCAAGCCUGGAUAUUGGUAGAUUUAUCCUGGAAACCUAGAAAGCUACUGGCUAAAUUUGUCCAUUUCACUUACCAACUAGGAGGAAUCUUAUAAUGUCAGAUGCUGCUGUUCUUAGUUUCCAAAUGAAAUAUUGUGGGGUUCCAAGAACUGGAGCAGGUUUCAGUUUU